rnacentral:piRNA from 1 species
UCUAGACAAAGAUUCUGCCUGCUGACAUU